GGAUUGUAAAAUCCAUCUCGUUUCCAUCCCUUACAUGUUUGGAAACUCCUUCAUCCCUCCCAUCUUUCACUUCCAAAUACGACUGUCAGAGGAGAGGGAUUUGGGCAAUCUUGCAUUGGGGAAUGGACGGUCUUUUGAUGACUUCUCGAGCCCAUCCCGUAGUGAUAACAGAUCCAGAGUACGGACACCACCAGAUGUGAAAUGCCCACUAGUUGAAGAGGAGAUAUUGGCAGGUUUAGGCGGAAAUGGCAAGAAGCAGGAUCAAUUUAUACCCCUGCAUGUUGCAUCUUCGGAUGUGGAUAGGGAGAAGAGGGCUCCUUGUUCUGAAAUAGAGUGGAGAGAAGAGGCAGGCUACAUCUCCGCUUAUUUGGAGCUCUUCGGCCACCUCCAAGUAUAUUAAUCGUCCUAGCUUGAAACGGAUUUCUUGAUACCUCGAAUUCAGCGAAGUGUCACUCUACACUCCUUUUAUAGUUCGGCUGCUAAGUUCUGGAGUACGUUUAG